GGCAAAUGAUUCAAGGCGAGGCAAGAGGUGCUUCAGAUGCUGUCUUUUGCAGUCCUCCGAGAGGUUAGGGAUGUGGGAGGUCCCUGGGGGCCAUCUCUUACAAGACACAGUUUCCACUAAAUUGGAUCGUAUUUGUACAUCUCUACACCUGUGCGUGAUAGUAAACUUUUGCACCCAAAUACCCCGACCCCUGAAGGAGAGUGUGAGUUAAAAGGAUCUGAAGAACGGACCCUUUGUUUAAGCCUUCUCCGCUGGUGGUAUACUUACGAGGACCAGAGGUGAGGUGUCAGCAAGGAGGCCCACAGGUGGAAAGUGCUUUGGGCCAAUGGUACACACCUGCUUUAUUGGAUAGACGCAGAGAAGUAUGCCUGGUCACAGCCAGAGCUUACUCGGUCAAGAAAUUAUGAGCUCCCCAGAAGUCUCUUGUAUGCUGUCUCCUAGUUGUGAGCACCUUUUACCAAAGAUGGUCUGAGAGUACCUGUGCUGAAAUGGAAUUGUCUUUGAGUGGACACUUCUUAGAUGAGACCUAUUGUGGCCAAUAGCUCCUGAGGAACUGAAGCCUUCAGUUCAAAACUUGUGUGAGAAAAAUGAAUCUUGCCAACUACUGGAGUGAGCUUAGAAAUGAAUCCAUCCCCAGUUGACCCUUGAAUGUAGCCUUGUCAGAGACCCAGAGACAAAGCAUCCUGCUAAUCUGCACUGGGUUCUAGGCCCACAGAAACCAUGGGAUAAUAACUUUGUGUUGCUAUAAGCCACUGAAAACAAACAAAUAAAAUACUUAAGAUGUUCCCCUGUGGAAGGGUUCCAUUGCCAGGGAUCUGCACUUCACAACCAAAGGGAUUAAAGAGAAUUGCCUUCUUCAGAUUUCAGACUGUGGCCUGCUUCUGGUUUUUCUUUCUAUAUUCAUAUAUAUGUUUGUUUAAAUCAUCCUACUUUUGGAGCAGGAAAAGUUACUAUUACAGUUUAUACAAAGGGAAGAAAUCUGGUACAUGCUAAAGUUAUUCAUCUGUAACUACCUGACGAGCCCAAUUAGUUGCUUGCUCCUAUGGAUUCUGAGCCUAAAAUCCCUUCAACAGAUCUUUGACCUUUUCUAAGUUAAGUUUUUGGAAGUAUCCUAUUUGUUCACUUACUUGGGCCAGAGACUAUAGAGAUUAAGAGAAAGUUUGAUAUUUGACCCUAAUUUUAGGCUAAAACAAUUUAGAUGGAAAGAACAGACACAAUUCAAUUUAACCAUCUUCAACUGCUGUGCUUUAGAAAGCUGGGAGUGUGGAGAAUGGAGUAGGUGUACAGAAAAAUAAGAACAGUUCUGUUCUUCAGGGCUUGAUAAAGGCUGCUGUGAGUUGGAUGGACAAUAAUUACUACUGACUAGGUCUAGCUGGGAUAGUUAGGGGAGACUUUCUGAAAGAGGCAACACAUGAGCUGGGUUCUAAAUCUCAAAUAGGAUUUGAUGGCUGAAGAUGAGGGUAAUAAAACAAGAGAAACAAGUACAUUCCAGAUAGAAAGAAUAGUAUAAGCCAAGAAAAACCUAUUCCAGGGCAGCAGGGAAGAGUCUGAAGUGGCAAAACAAAGUAGGAGGCAAAGCUGUCAAUAUAAGUAACUUGGUAGAGAAACAUUAGGAGUUUGGAUUUUAUCCCAUUGACUAGGAGGAUUUAAAAACAGAAAAUGCUCACAGGGGCCAGGCAAGUUAUGAGUAAAUAAAAGGUCCAGGUGUAAGUGCAACAGGGCCCAUGGACAUAGGAAUGGGGGAUGUGAAAAACCAACCUUUGCUAACAGUGAGUUCUACUAUGCAGUUUUAGCUGAUUAUAGCCAGACUCGAAAGCAACCUUUGUAGGGUUGACAGUUCUUGUGAUUGUUCAAGAAAAAAAUUUAUGUAAAAUCUACUGACUUGAAAAUACUAGAUUAAUUUAUUUAAUGUUAUAGAGCUCAAAUAAAACACAUUUGUCUUAUUUAUAGCCCAAGAGCUUUUGGUGGUGAUGGUGGGUAACAAUUUUGGUAGGAGAGAAGGCUAUGAGUUGAAUGGUGUCUUAGGAAUAUUUGGCAUUUGUGAUAGAUUGGACAAGGUAGAGAUGUAAAAGAAAAAAUGUCUCAGGCCGGGUAUGCUGGCUCACACCUGUCUGAGUACUUUUUGUGGCUGAGGUGGGAUUG
rnacentral:lncRNA from 1 species